rnacentral:rRNA from 1 species
GACGAACGCUGGCGGCGUGCUUAACACAUGCAAGUCGAACGGUGAAGCCCUUCGGGUGGAUCAGUGGCGAACGGGUGAGUAACACGUGAGCAACCUGCCCUGGACUCCGGGAUAACUGCUGGAAACGGUAGCUAAUACUGGAUAUGACUUCUCAUCGCAUGGUGAGGGGUGGAAAGAAUUUUGGUCUGGGAUGGGCUCGCGGCCUAUCAGCUUGUUGGUGGGUAAUGGCCUACCAAGGCGACGACGGGUAGCCGGCCUGAGAGGGCGACCGGCCACACUGGGACUGAGACACGGCCCAGACUCCUACGGGAGGCAGCAGUGGGGAAUAUUGCGCAAUGGGCGGAAGCCUGACGCAGCAACGCCGCGUGAGGGAUGAAGGCCUUCG